rnacentral:rRNA from 1 species
GACGAACGCUGGCGGCGUGCCUAACACAUGCCAGUCGAGCGGGGAUUUAAGUGGAAGUUCUUCGGAAUGGAGAUUUAAAUUCUAGCGGCGGACGGGUGAGUAACGCGUGAACAAUCUGUCCCGGACAGGGGGAUAACACUUGGAAACAGGUGCUAAUACCGCAUAAGACCACGGCCUCGCAUGGGGCUGAGGUAAAAGGAGCAAUCCGGUUCGGGGUGAGUUCGCGUCCGAUUAGCUAGUUGGUGAGGUAACGGCCCACCAAGGCGACGAUCGGUAGCCGGCCUGAGAGGGUGAACGGCCACAGUGGAACUGAGAGACGGUACAAACUCCUACGGGAGGCAGCAGUGGGGAAUAUUGGGCAAUGGGCGAAAGCCUGACCCAGCAACGCCGCGUGAGGGAAGAAGGUUUUCGGAUUGUAAACCUCUGUCCUAUGGGACGAAGGAAGUGACGGUACCAUAGGAGGAAGCCCCGGCUAACUACGUG